rnacentral:tRNA from 1 species
GGGCUCGUAGUCUAGCGGCUAUGAUGUCUCGUUGACGUCGAGAAGGUCCCCGGUUCGAAACGCACAUAUUAAAGAUAAUAUGAACCACGAAUUUCCGGGCGGGCCCA